GACGAACGCUGGCGGCGUGCUUAACACAUGCAAGUCGAACGGUAAGGCCCUUCGGGGUACACGAGUGGCGAACGGGUGAGUAACACGUGGGUGAUCUGCCCUGCACUUCGGGAUAAGCCUGGGAAACUGGGUCUAAUACCGGAUAGGACCCUGGGAUGCAUGUCCUGGGGUGGAAAGCUUUUGCGGUGGGGGAUGGGCCCGCGGCCUAUCAGCUUGUUGGUGGGGUGAUGGCCUACCAAGGCGACGACGGGUAGCCGGCCUGAGAGGGUGACCGGCCACACUGGGACUGAGAUACGGCCCAGACUCCUACGGGAGGCAGCAGUGGGGAAUAUUGCACAAUGGGCGCAAGCCUGAUUCAGCGACGCCGCGUGAGGGAUGACGGCCUUCGGGUUGUAAGCCUCUUUCAGCACCGACGAAGCGCAAGUGACGGUAGGUGCAGAAGAAGGACCGGCCAACUACGUGCCAGCCGCCGCGGUAA
rnacentral:rRNA from 1 species